rfam:Selenihalanaerobacter shriftii strain ATCC BAA-73 genome assembly, contig: EI55DRAFT_scaffold00009.9
AUUUCUGAUUCUAAGGCUCCAGAUAUUCAAGCAGGAUACGAAAAGAUGUCAAAUAUCUUGAUGUCAGCUUUAACUGGAACGAAUUAUAUUCAUCAUGCAG